rnacentral:tRNA from 1 species
GGGGCGUUAGUCUAGUCUGGUAGGAUCGUACCUUGGGGUGGUACUGGCGGGAGUUCAAAUCUUCCACGCCCCA